UACGGGGGGGGUAAGCGUUGUUCGGAAUUACUGGGCGUAAAGGGCUCGUAGGCGGCCAACUAAGUCGGACGUGAAAUCCCUCAGCUUAACUGGGGAACUGCGUCCGAUACUGGAUGGCUUGGAUUUGGGAGAGGGAAGUGGAAUUCCCGGUGUAGUGGUGAAAUGCGUAGAUAUCGGGAGGAACACCAGUGGCGAAGGCGACUUCCUGGCCUGUUCUUGACGCUGAGGCGCGAAAGCUAGGGGAGCAAACGGG
rnacentral:rRNA from 1 species